AUACGUAGGUGUCGAGCGUUAUCCGGAAUUACUGGGCGUAAAGGGCUCGCAGGCGGCGAUGCAAGUUCGACGUGAAAUCUCUCGGCUUAACUGAGAGGGGACGUUGGAAACUGUGUGGCUAGAGGCAGUGAGAGGGAGGCGGAAUUCCCGGUGUAGUGGUGGAAUGCGUAGAUAUCGGGAAGAACACCAGUGGCGAAAGCGGCCUUCUGGCACUGACCUGACGCUGAGGAGCGAAAGCGUGGGUAGCGAACGGGAUUAGAUACCCCGGUAGUCCACGCUGUAAACGAUGUGAACUAGGUGUGGGCAGUAUUGACCCUGUCCGUGCCAAAGCCAACGCGAUAAGUUCACCGCCUGGGGAGUACGGCCGCAAGGCUAAA
rnacentral:rRNA from 1 species